rnacentral:lncRNA from 1 species
GUGAGCUGAAGCUCUACUUCCUGGGGAACAUUUUCUUUAAAGAUUGGCACCUGAGCUAACCUCUGUUGCCAGUCUUUUUUUUUUCUCCCUUCUUCUCCCCAAAGCUCCCUAGUACAUAGUUGUAUAUUCUGGUUGUAGUCCCUUCUAGCUGUGCCAUGUGGGACGCCACCUCAGCAUGGCUUGAUGAGUGGUGCUAGGGCCGUGCCCAGGCUCUGAACCAGCGAAACCCUGGGCUGCCGAAGUGGAGCGUGAACUUAACCACUGGGCCGUGGGGCCAGCCCUUUCCUGGGGAAUUUUGAUUUGAUUUUCUACACUCUUUUAGACUAUGGCUUCUUCUUUGGUUUUUAUCAAUAUUGGGGAAAAAAAGAUCUUAAUCAGCAUCAGCAGAGAGCCAGGCAGAGGAUCAAAGGUGGAACAUGACAGGCCCCUCUCUCUUUCUUCAUCCAAAUGGCUACUGCUCUGAUUGUCCAUUAUUCGAUCAACUAUUAACCCCAGGGAACAAAAUCUAGAAUUUCCUAGGAAGGCAUUAUUAGCCUCUUUUCCUGCAGACAUUGUG